GACGAACCGAGCAAACGUUAUUCGGAAUCACUGGGCUUAAAGAGUCCGUAGGCGGCGCGUUAGGUGGGGUGUGAAAUCCCUCGGCUCAACCGAGGAAUUGCGCUCCAAACCGGCGUGCUUGAGGAAGGUAGAGGUGAGCGGAACUGAUGGUGGAGCGGUGAAAUGUGUAGAUAUUCGGAAGAACACCAGCGGCGAAGGCAGCGGAUUGGGCCAAUACUGACGCUCAGGCACGAAAGCAUGGGGAUCAAACAGG
rnacentral:rRNA from 1 species